rnacentral:rRNA from 1 species
GACGAACGCUGGCGGCGUGCUUAACACAUGCAAGUCGAGCGAUGAAGCUUCCUUCGGGAAGUGGAUUAGCGGCAGACGGGUGAGUAACACGUGGGCAACCUACCUCGAAGUGGGGGAUAGCCUUCCGAAAGGGAGAUUAAUACCGCAUAAUAUGUCUUUUAUGCAUGUAAGAGAUAUUAAAGAUUUAUUGCUUCGAGAUGGGCCCGCGGCGCAUUAGCUAGUUGGUGAGGUAAGGGCUCACCAAGGCGACGAUGCGUAGCCGACCUGAGAGGGUGAUCGGCCACAUUGGAACUGAGACACGGUCCAGACUCCUACGGGAGGCAGCAGUGGGGAAUAUUGCGCAAUGGGGGAAACCCUGACGCAGCAACGCCGCGUGAGUGAUGAAGGUUUUCGGAUUGUAAAGCUCUGUCUUUAGGGACGAUAAUGACGGUACCUAAGGAGGAAGCCACGGCUAACUACGUGCCAGCAGCCGCAGUAAUAC